UCGCGGCCCUAUCAGCUUGUUGGUGGGGUGAUGGCCUACCAAGGCGACGACGGGUAGCCGGCCUGAGAGGGUGUCCGGCCACACUGGGACUGAGAUACGGCCCAGACUCCUACGGGAGGCAGCAGUGGGGAAUAUUGCACAAUGGGCGCAAGCCUGAUGCAGCGACGCCGCGUGGGGGAUGACGGCCUUCGGGUUGUAAACCUCUUUCACCAUCGGCGAAGCCUUCAGCUUUUGUUGGGGGUGACGGUAGGUGGAGAAGAAGCACCGGCCAACUACGUGCCAGCAGCCGCGGUAAUACGUAGGGUGCGAGCGUUGUCCGGAAUUACUGGGCGUAAAGAGCUCGUAGGUGGUUUGUCGCGUUGUUCGUGAAAUUCCCUGGCUUAACUGGGGGCGUGCGGGCGAUACGGGCAGACUGGAGUACUGCAGGGGAGACUGGAAUUCCUGGUGUAGCGGUGGAAUGCGCAGAUAUCAGGAGGAACACCGGUGGCGAAGGCGGGUCUCUGGGCAGUAACUGACGCUGAGGAGCGAAAGCGUGGGGAGCGAACAGGAUUAGAUACCCUGGUAGUCCACGCCGUAAACGGUGGGUACUAGGUGUGGGUUUCCUUCCUUGGGAUCCGUGCCGUAGCUCACGCAUUAAAUACCCCGCCUGGGGAGUACA
rnacentral:rRNA from 1 species